rnacentral:rRNA from 1 species
GUGGGGAAUCUUGCGCAAUGGGCGAAAGCCUGACGCAGCCAUGCCGCGUGAAUGAUGAAGGUCUUAGGAUUGUAAAAUUCUUUCACCGGGGACGAUAAUGACGGUACCCGGAGAAGAAGCCCCGGCUAACUUCGUGCCAGCAGCCGCGGUAAUACGAAGGGGGCUAGCGUUGCUCGAAAUUACUGGGCGUAAAGGGCGCGUAGGCGGACAGUUUAGUCAGAGGUGAAAGCCCAGGGCUCAACCUUGGAAUUGCCUUUGAUACUGGCUGUCUUGAGUACGGGAGAGGUGAGUGGAACUCCGAGUGUAGAGGUGAAAUUCGUAGAUAUUCGGAAGAACACCAGUGGCGAAGGCGACUCACUGGCCCGUUACUGACGCUGAGGCGCGAAAGCGUGGGGAGCAAACAGGAUUAGAAACCCGAGUAGUCC